AGGAAAGAUAUUAUCACAGCUAUAUGGUACUUUGCUGAAGAUACCAUAUGCUUUGGCUGCAGGACAUAGAAUAACCAACUUCUAACCAACCAUACGAUUUCCUAUUUGCUGGGUAGCUUCCACAGUGCUCUGCCAGACACUGGUGAACUAAACUGCUGGAAAAUUACAUGUGGCAAAGAACUGAGGCACACUUCUUAUCAACAGACUUCUAGGAAAUAUCCUUUGGCAAACAGAAUUUGACCACAAGCUCUUGAGGUUGGAAAAAGAUCUAUUCAAGACUUCAGAGAUGAUUAUGGGCUGAUCAUAUCUAUAAAUGUAGCCCAUGAAGACUUGGAUGUAGAAAGCCUGGCUAAGGUGGUCUGUGUUCCUGGCUCACAGAGGUCAUGAGAGAGAAAAUGCAGGUGCUUUUAACAUGCUUACUGUCUGGUAAUUUGCAACACGGUAGUUGAUAAUCAAUAGUACUAGAUAACUCAUAUACCUUUGUUUGAAGUCUCAUCUUGCUCUACUCUAGUUUAAUUAGAAAACAUCUCUAUGUUACCAUUUCUUGAGUUUACUCUUGCUCAGAUCAGUAAUAACUUCUAAAAUUGUGGCUAGAUUAAGGAAGCAUAAAGACUGAUCCCAGAUGGCUAAUGUCAGUGCCCCAGGAUAAACACUGGAGAAGAGGCUGGUCAAAUGAUAGACUAGGGGAAGAUUUUGAUGCUUAUGCUAUUACACUUAACCCUUUUAACAUUUAGAAAAUUUCUUAUUUGUAACAUGAGAAUAGAAAAAAGUAGCCUAGCUGGGCGGUGGUGGCGCACGCCUUUAAUCCCAGCACUUGGGAGGCAGAGGCAGGUGGAUUUUUGAGUUCGAGGCCAGCCUGGUCUACAAAGUGAGUUCCAGGACAGCCAGGGCUACACAGAGAAACUCUGUCUCGGAAAAAAAAAAGAAAGCAAACAAAAAAAAAAAAAAGAAAGAAAGAAAGAAAAGAAAAGAGUAACCAGCCUUUACUGAUACCUAUACUGUAUUAAAUACUUUCUCUUUAACAUUAAUAUUAGUUAGCAUAAUAAAUCUUAAUUUGAAUCCUCAAAUUUCUGUGAUAGAGAUCAAAAGAAGAAUCUCAGAAUAAAUUAUGUAUACAAAUUUAAAGAAAAAGGCCAUGAAUUGGUGAUAGAGCAAAGCAAGUACAUUGUAGGGGUUGAGAAAAGGAAAAGAAUGAAAGAAAUAUUGUAACUAUAUUUUAAUUUCAUAAAUAAAAAUACAAAGAAUAUAUUAUCUAAGUAAGAGACACACAAAUGUCCAAAAUACCUAUAAAAGAGUAGUGUAUUAGUAGAUUUUUCAGUCCUAUACAAAAACACCUGAAACACUCUGAAAGGAUAGAAGACAUAUUUGCCUCCAUUUCAGAGGUUUCCAGCUAUGGCUGCUUGUCCUUAAACCUCUGACCUUG
rnacentral:lncRNA from 1 species